AUUGAACGCUGGCGGCAGGCCUAACACAUGCAAGUCGAACGAGUGGCGGACGGGUGAGUAAUGUCUGGGAAACUGCCUGAUGGAGGGGGAUAACUACUGGAAACGGUAGCUAAUACCGCAUACCAUCAGAUGUGCCAAGAGGGGAUUAGCGAGUAGGUGGGGUAACGGCUCACCUAGGCGACGAUCCCUAGCGGGUAUGAGCGGCUGACCAGCCACACUGGAACUGAGACACGGUCCAGAUUCCUACGGGAGGCAGCAGUGGGGAAUAUUGCACAAUGGGCGCAAGCCUGAUGCAGCCAUGCCGCGUGUUUGAAGAAGGCCUUCGGGUUGUAAAGCACUUUCAGCGGGGAGGCGUUACCCGCAGAAGAAGCACCGGCUAACUCCGUGCCAGCAGCCGCGGUAAUAC
rnacentral:rRNA from 1 species